rnacentral:rRNA from 1 species
GUUGAUCCUGGCUCAGGAUGAACGCUGGCGGCGUGGAUAAGGCAUGCAAGUCGAGCGGUUCCGAUUUAUCGGAGCAGCGGCGAACGAGUUAGUAAUACCUUGGCAAUCUACCCUAAAUCGGGAAAUAAUUCGCCGAAAGGCGGACUAAUGUCCCAUAAUAUCCGAUUUCGUCAGAUUUCGGAUUAAAGGCGCAAGCCGAUUUUGGAGGAGCCUAGGCCCGAUCAGCUUGUUGGUGAGGUAACGGCUCACCAAGGCUAUGACCGGUAGGGGAAGUGAGAGCUUGUUCCCCAACGACGAAACUGAGACACGGUUCGUACACCUACGGGUGGCAGCAGUCGAGAAUAUUCCACAAUGGGCGAAAGCCUGAUGGAGCGACGCCGCGUGCGGGAAGAAGGCCUUCGGGUCGUAAACCGCUUUUUAUUGGGAAAAAGUCGCAAGAUUGAUUGUACCAAUAGAAUAAGGGGUUCCUAACUCUGUGCCAGCAGGAGCGGUAAUACAGAGACCCCGAGCGUUAUCCGGAUUUAUUGGGCGUAAAGCGUGUGUAGGAGGCUAGAUAAGUCUCCGGUUAAAUCUUCCCGCUUAACGGGAAAACCGCCGGGGAUACUAUUUAGCUAGAGGGCGCCAGAGGCAGAUGGAACAGCCGGUGUAGGGGUGAAAUCCGUUGAUAUCGGCUGGAACACCAAAGGCGAAGGCAGUCUGCUGGGACGUUCCUGACUCUGAGACACGAAAGCGUGGGUAGCAAAAAGGAUUAGAUACCCUUGUAGUCCACGCUGUAAACAAUGUUCACUGGCUAUUGGGAGUGUCGACCCUCUCAGUGGCGUAGCUAACGCGUUAAGUGAACCGCCUGGGGAGUACGGCCGCAAGGCUAAAACUCAAAGGAAUAGACGGGGACUCGCACAAGCGGUGGAGCAUGAGGUUUAAUUCGAUGGUACGCGAGGAACCUUACCAGGGCUUGAAAUUCUGGCGUUCUAUUUCCCGGAAACGGGAGAAAUCCGCAAGGAGGCCAGGACAGGUGCUGCACGGUUGUCGUCAGCAUGUGAUUUGAAUUGCUCCCUUAAAUGGGGUAACAUGCGCAACCCUCAUCCUAUGUUAUAUGUGUCAUAGGAGACCGCCCCCGCCCAAAGAUUAGUAGUUAGCCACUAGAAAUUAGCGGUUAGUAAACUAGUAAUUUUCGGGCGGGGGAGGAAGGUGAGGAUGACGUCAAAUCAGCGUGGCCCUUUGAUGCCCUGGGCGGCACUCAUGCCACAAUGGUUGGUACAAUGGGCUGCCAAGGCGCAAGCCGGAGCUAAUCCCAUCAAAGCCAACCCCAGUUCGGAUUGAAGGCUGCAACUCGCCUUCAUGAAGUCGGAAUCGCUAGUAAUCGCGGAUCAGCCAUGCCGCGGUGAAUACGUUCUCGAGUCCUGUACUCACCGCCCGUCACACCAAGGAAGCCGGGAGUAGGUAAAGUCUGACAUUAGUCGGGCCAGCCUAAAUUCGGUAACAUGGGUGAAGUCGUAACAAGG